rnacentral:tRNA from 1 species
CAAACUAGGGCUCGUUGAGUAUUUUAUUUACACUAAAGUGGAAUUUGUUAAAUCAAUUUGGUUUGA